AAGUUUAUACUUUUUUUAGAA
rnacentral:tRNA from 1 species